GACGAACGCUGGCGGCGUGCCUAAUACAUGCAAGUCGAACGGUCUUUUCUGUGGAAGCUUGCUUCCACUGAGAAGAUAGUGGCGAACGGGUGAGUAACACGUGGGUAACCUGCCCAUAAGAGGGGGAUAACAUCCGGAAACGGGUGCUAAUACCGCAUAGGUUUCUUGGUCGCAUGAUCGAGAAAGGAAAGACGGCCUUUGUGCUGUCGCUUAUGGAUGGACCCGCGGCGUAUUAGUUAGUUGGGGAGGUAACGGCUCACCAAGACGAUGAUACGUAGCCGACCUGAGAGGGUGAUCGGCCACAUUGGGACUGAGACACGGCCCAAACUCCUACGGGAGGCAGCAGUAGGGAAUCUUCCGCAAUGGACGAAAGUCUGACGGAGCAACGCCGCGUGAGUGAAGAAGGUUUUCGGAUCGUAAAACUCUGUUGUCAGAGAAGAACAAGUCGGAGAGUAACUGCUCCGGCCUUGACGGUAUCUGACCAGAAAGCCACGGCUAACUACGUGCCAGCCGCCGCAGUAAGAC
rnacentral:rRNA from 1 species